ensembl:snRNA U6 U6 spliceosomal RNA
AUACUGUAAAGCACAUAUGCUAAAAUUGGAAUGAUACAGAGAAGAUUAGCAUAGCCCCUACCCAAUGUUGACACACAAAAUUGUGUAGAGGACUGCAUCAAC